rnacentral:rRNA from 1 species
UACGGAGGAUGCGAGCGUUAUCCGGAUUUAUUGGGUUUAAAGGGUGCGCAGGCGGACUCUCAAGUCAGCGGUCAAAUCGCGGGGCUCAACCCCGUUCCGCCGUUGAAACUGGGAGCCUUGAGUGCGCGAGAAGUAGGCGGAAUGCGUGGUGUAGCGGUGAAAUGCAUAGAUAUCACGCAGAACUCCGAUUGCGAAGGCAGCCUACCGGCGCGCAACUGACGCUCAUGCACGAAAGCGUGGGUAUCGAACAGG